rnacentral:rRNA from 1 species
GCCUAACACAUGCAAGUCGAGCGGGGUUUUCUUUAGCACUGAGUACUCUUAAACGUUGGUAGUAGGCAGCGUUUAUGCAGAAACGACCUUAAAAAUCAGAUGGAGGUUUCUGCAUUACGCGUUAAACAGUGCCAACACAGGAUAUGAGAGUAUUGAGUGCUAAAGAAAACCUAGCGGCGGACGGGUGAGUAACGCGUGAGCAACCUGCCUUGCACAGGGGGAUAACAACCGGAAACGGUUGCUAAUACCGCAGUAGACCCCACUAUCGCAUGAUAGAGAGGAUAAAGGGACUACCGGUGCAAGAUGGGCUCGCGUCCCAUUAGUUAGUUGGUAGGGUAACGGCGUACCAAGGCGACGAUGGGUAGCCGACCUGAGAGGGUGAUCGGCCACACUGGGACUGAGACACGGCCCAGACUCCUACGG